rnacentral:tRNA from 1 species
UCCUCGUUAGUAUAGUGGUCAGUAUCCCCGCCUGUCACGCGGGAGACGGGGUUCAAUUCCCCGACGGGGAG